UGGGGAGUACGGCCGCAAGGGUAAAACUCAAAGGAAAUGACGGGGGCCCGCACAAGCGGCGGAGCAUGCGGAUUAAUUCGAUGCAACGCGAAGAACCUUACCAAGGCUUGACAUGUUUUCGAUCGCCGUAGAGAUACGGUUUCCCCUUUGGGGCGGGUUCACAGGUGGUGCAUGGUUGUCGUCAGCUCGUGUCGUGAGAUGUUGGGUUAAGUCCCGCAACGAGCGCAACCCUCGUUCCAUGUUGCCAGCACGUAAUGGUGGGGACUCAUGGGAGACUGCCGGGGUCAACUCGGAGGAAGGUGAGGACGACGUCAAAUCAUCAUGCCCCUUAUGUCUUGGGCUUCACGCAUGCUACAAUGGCCGGUACAAUGGGUUGCGAUACUGUGAGGUGGAGCUAAUCCCAAAAAGCCGGUCUCAGUUCGGAUUGGGGUCUGCAACUCGACCCCAUGAAGUUGGAGUCGCUAGUAAUCGCAGAUCAGCAACGCUGCGGUGAAUACGUUCCCGGGCCUUGUACACACCGCCCGUCAAGUCACGAAAGUCGGUAACACCCGAAGCCGGUGGCCUAACCCUUGUGGGGGGAGCCGUCGAAGGUGGGACCAGCGAAUGGACUAAGUCG
rnacentral:rRNA from 1 species